rnacentral:rRNA from 1 species
UGCAGAAUCCCGUGAAUCAUCGAGUUUUUGAACGCAAGUAGCGCCCAAGGCCAUCUGGUUGAGGGCACGACUGCCUGGGCAUCACGC